AGAUAGCGCACGCGGCGACGGCGGCCCACCCCUCCCACCCUGUGGCGCGUGCCCGUGGAGGUAGAUGGCGACGAGCUAAUUAGUCGCGAUGCCCCACACGGGGUUCGGAUCUCCUCACAAGCAUUUACACAGCUAGCAUGAAUAGAAGACGCAGUCGGCACUAAUCAGGCGAGGCCACAGCCGAGGAGAAGAGCCAUGGCGGUGUUGGAUGGAGAUGGAGCACGCGGAGUCCUCCUAGGUGGGAGAGGCGGUAGCCAUGUGGGGCUCUAGAAUAAAGGGAAAAAAAAAUACUUUACUGAACAUGAACUUUUUGGAGAAUCGUUUCAAAACUCACAAGUGUCCCGCCCCACUCCCUGGCCCCCAGGCUUUGACAUGGUAGGCAGCACCGGCUAAGUGAAAGGGCAGUUUUGAGCCACCUUCCUCGGGUGCGGGGGGUCUGCCACUGGGGUCUACUUGGAUGCAAUGAAUUCAUUCAUUCAAUAACUGGCCCACAACCACCUUGUGCCCAGGUGAGUGGACAGAGCCAACGGUCAGGCUAAGACAUGGCACCUUCCCCGAUGGGACAAGGUGCCAAUAAACCCAGAACUGCCGGGUGAUCACAAAACUCUCUUCCAACGUUCUUUCCUUUCACUUUUGAACACAGCUCGCAAAACUUGGGACGCUGGGGAGAAGGAAACAGAAACUCUACUAAGAAUGCAACACACCCCAGGGUCCUCAAAGGGCAAGGGGUGUUUAAUACUUCAGUGGCCUCGAAUAAAUUAUUGUGGGCAGCCCUAUCUUUGAAAAUGGGGGAACACUGUGGACCACUCAACAGAAUUUUCAGGUCCUUCUUCCUGAAGGUUUGCCCAACUCAAACUCAGAAAGGGUGUGACGGAAAGCUGCAACACGCUGUUUUUCUUGGUCCCUGCUGGUACAACUCUACUUCCAUUCUGUGCUCCGUUUUUAUUAUUUUUUUUCCCUUAACGGAUUUGAAAGAACAACAGAAAGCGACUCAAAGCAACCAAGGAUCUCUUGGAAUUACGAACAGGAAGCUAAACCUAACAAAUAGGCCCUCACUUGCUGCCUUGCUGCCCAGUCUCCGACUUUAUCUCCUCAAAAGUUAUUUCUUAUCCACAGCUGAUUAAGGCCUCUCAUCCACACAAACGUACACUUCAAAAAAUAAAAAAUAAAAAGUACAAGAAACUCAAAGGAACUACUGUGCCAGGUAUGAAAAAGAUUUAACUGCUGCCCUUGUGCUCCAGGGAAACUCUGAGUUCACAAGCAGUCCUGUAAGUGGCAGCAUGAAGACAGGGACUACCUUUUACCUCUUCAACAAAAACUUCUUGAUUGAAUUUGAUUCAUCUGUCAUUUGUGAAACUAAAGACUUAGAAGAGAGAGGACCUGGCCAGAAAUUUCUGUUCCGCUCCAGUUGUGCAAAAGGCUCUUCCUUCCUGCUUCCAGUGUGCAGAGGCACAGACACAUUGUAUUUAAAAGAAGAGCUAGAGGAGGAAGCCUAUCAGCAUGGAGCACCGGGGCUGGCCUUAGUUGGGAAGGAAGGGGUAAGUUCCUAGCAGAGAAGCCUGUGGCUCCUGCCUGGGAAGCCCAUGUGUCCUUCCUCAGCUGCUGUGGAGCAAACAGGACAGUGGCAUCAGGGUAAGUGCAAAGGUACUGUUCUUGGAAACAAGGAACCACAGUGUCUAAAAUGUCCUCUCCUCCAGGGAGGCUUCCUGGAUUUCUCCUAGAAGCCUAUGUUUGUAUCUCCUUCCUAGCCCUCAGCUGGGUGGGCAAUGAUGAAUUUCUGAACUCUGCUACUACACAAAGUAGCUCCCAGUAUGGGGACCCAGAAGCCAUUUGUUAAAGAACAAAAGAUGGCCUAAGAUGUUUUUCCUACACCAUCUGAAUUUUGGUAAGGACACAUUCAAAAGUGCUUGUGUGUGGUGCCUAGGUUACUGGCAAACCUCUUCAACUUUAAACUUGUCUUAAGUGAAUAAAUUCUAAAAUGAGAAAGAAUCUGCCCCCCUCCUCCCCCAUUUCUUCCAAAGGAGGAAAAAUGGGAUCCAAAGGGACAAAAAGUUGUGCCCAGGGUCUCAGAACUGGCUCCUGGCAGAACAGGGCUCUUUCUACACUGUUAAUCAAUAGAUCAAAGCCCCCAGACACUGCCUGGUUCACUCCAUUGUAGUUUAUCUUUCUGACCUGCCUAAGGUCUUCAAAGGACCCCAAACAGAGGUAUUUGUCCCUAGAUAUCAGUUGUUAAAUUGAAAACCUUAAAAAAAACAUAUAUUCCUAGGCCUGGGGCGGGACUGCAUUCCUGGGAAGGGAGAUAAAGGGAGGGGGCCCCACAGUGCCGCCUGAGGCAGGCGCAGGCGCACAGAGUUUUAUGCAGCCAGGCUCUCAAUUGUAAAAGCCGAGCGCCAUCUGCCAGCCAGUUUUGAACAGCUUUGCUUUGUUAAUUUUUUUCUACUCUGCAGCCUUAAGUAGUGGGUGUUCCUUUCUUUCUUUUAAAAUGUAUGCGUAUUUUUAUAAAUUCUGGGUUAGAAAUGGCUCCCCUACACACAAAAAAGAUCCUACUUUAUAAAAAAAAUUCUGAGUAUAGAAAGAAAAAUAAAGUAGGAAAAGGAGAGGCUGGGAAGAGGGUAAACAGGUAAGAUUCCUUGAGGGUGUUUCUUUCUUUCCCUGGAUUCUGAGCUCUGUGAACUUUGGGUGCAAAUGAGAUGGGCUUCCUUCCUCCUCCUCCACCCCCUCCUACCCCACUGAGAGCUUAACCUGUGAUCUCCAGAGUGAAGGUGUUUGAAACUUCCUGUCACCUGAAUGUUGGGGUGAGUGUUGGCUACAACAGAUUUAAUUUGCCUGCUGAGUAAGUGUCUCCUCUGUGCCCCAUGUUCCCUAAUGUUCCUGUCCUAGCCCCACCAUGGGAAAUUUCUGGCUCCUCUUAAACAACUCAUCAAAUUUGGUCCCUCUUUGACCAUGGCAGUACUAUGGGCCAACUUGAAGCCUUGUCAAUAUUUCAAGACUCCCAUCAUUAGCUUUUCUACAUCAUUUGGCAAGUGCACGGAAUCCUAAAAUCAAGUGACAGAAAAUCACGGUCCCAGGAAACCCCUGAUGCCUAAGCCGGUGCUCUCUCCAUCAUCUUAGGACCCCCUUUAAAAGUUGGAGCAGUUCUGCCCUCCGUUCCCCCCUUUUAACAGAGUCCCUCGUAAGUGUCCGUCUUAAAUCCGCACUUGCAUAUCUAUUGGGCAAAACAAAAUGAUCUGUGCUUUCCUUCUAAUGGCUAAAAGGAAAGAAACUGAAGUCACGUGACUUCUACAGUAUAAAUAGCCCAAAGCUUUUUGGCUAUCCAACUUUAAAAAUUUCCCCCUAACGUCUGGCAUUGGAUAUUGGGUUCUGCCCUGAGUCUUCUAAGCAUUUCCUUGGAAAGAUGUUGUACUUGGUCCCAGGCAAAGUCUCAAAAUCAACAUUGUGAGGUUUUUUUCUCCAAGUUACUUCUAGGAUUGUUCAGUGACUUUUCCUUGUUAGGGGUCACUUGGGUUAGCAGAACCUGGAACUAAAUUUAGGCUGGUCUGCAGGAAGGUCCCACCUUGCAUGGCCAGCAUUUAACUGCUCAAACCACCAAUCAUUUUUUUUACUGCUCCCCUUCAUCAUUACCCUAAUAGGUAAUUUCAUUAUGAAAAAUCUCAAGUUCUUAAAGAGGGGAAAAGGAUGGGAGAAGUCUUCAUUUUUAAAAAGUUAGAAACUGGGGGUACAAUUCAGGGACAGCAGAGUAUAAAACCCUGGAUUCAAUCCCCAACAGCCAAAGAGAGAGAGGUAAGGUGCAAGCUGGUGGGUUGGGCCAAAUGAAGUGACAAGCAACCCUCAUUCCAAUGCGUAGAUGUGGGGGUAUAGAUGCUGCUUUGAGAUGCAGAGGUAUCAACGGUUUUAUCAAAGACCAAGUACAAUAUUUUUGACCAGGAAAUGUCUUUGGUUGGUUACUUCUAUUGCCAUCAUUGUUUUCUUCCCCAGUGUAAUUACUUUACUCUUCCUACUACCACUCAAAGGUGACAGGUCACCUUCCCAUGGAUGAGUAGCCAUCUUUGGAAUCGUAUCCUUAUGGCUGGUGUGCACAGGUUAGUUCAAGGCUCUUCUAGUAUUUGCAAGUACACAGAGGUAGGUGCAGGCGCCUCCCUUAUUGUCUGGUAAUCCCUUCUACGAUAAUAGAAUUUACUAGUGCACACCAGGCAGAGGGACACAGGCUAACAUGAUGUCAAUUAAUGAACCUAAGGAACCCUAUGUGCAGUGGUUAAGGGUUAAUAAUAGUCUAUGCCCCUGACACUGACUGCCCAUUGAUUAGUUAGAUAUUGACUCAUCGGAGUCAUUGUUUAUUUGCCUGAAAUAACUUCUUCUUCUCUUCUAUUUAGGGUCAUCUAGGGGUCACUCAUGGAGAUUUGUGGAAAUUGUUUCUAUCCAAGAAUGCAGGCCACUAAAAUUAGUAUGCGAAUUGCUGACUGGCUCAGCACGCCACAGACCCUUGCCUACAGCGUCCACGUGGUCGCCCCGAGUACAGGAAAGCACACAGAGUGGACCGCUAGGGAAACCCGAGACCUCCCGAAGGCGUACCACCUCAGCUCUACGGUUCGACACGGUUCGACACACUUGGCGCCGAACACUUUGAACUUUGAUCCAAAGUUCGGUCAACUACCCCCACGCAAAAUGGCGAAACAGUUUGAACACACACUGAAUGGUCCAACAGGGUCUCAACCACCAACCCACUCCCCUCCGACCCCAGCGCCAGAGAGGGCUACCGCUGAGGCACCGUGAAGAGCCAUUUCUAGGGCCUGGAGGUGGUGAUCCAGGCCUCUGAGGACAGACAGACGAGAGGACAAGAUGGACAGAGUUCAUUACCCAGGGAUGCUGAACCCUGCACAGGGUGGAAGGCUACGCACGCGUCACGCAUCGUCUACCCACGCAAUUAGCCGCACUGCGUACAGCCCACCCUCACUUAAAGUCUGGGGACUGCGACGCCAUCCCAGGGCCUAGGCGCACAGUCCCGGACCUCUUCAGACAAGUCGGAACCGCCCAACCAGCUGUACUACCUAAAGGCGCUCACCGAGAAGCCGACUCACCCUCUGGCUCUGCAGAGAGUGGCCCCACUGCGCAAGAACUGCUGAAGCCGAAAAGGAUGAACCUUAUGAGGUGAGAAGCUGGGUCCGGAGACCCCAGUCUCACCUCGGGGAGAAAAGAAGGGGAUGCACCUACCUUCCCGACCACAGCGAACUUUCUAAGCCUCCGCGCCUCAGCCCGCGUCUCAUCGUCACUUCUUCCAGCUCACAUUCUACAUGAGAAAAACAGGUGCGUCGAUCAGAACGUCAUGGCUAGGGGGCGGCCAGAGACCACUAGAUCGUGGUAUUGGUCUCUGAAGCCUAAGGAAUUGGAGCACAGCUCUGCCAGCAGCAUAUGGUACACAGAGACAUUGGUCAAGCUGAUUUUAGGGCAUAUUGAGGGAGAAGUUAGGCCUGUGUGGGUGCUGGUAAAUGCCCUUUUGAUGGAAACUGAUGCCUGCUGUCCACAGUGAGGAAACUUGGAAGGUGCCUGCCGGUGGUGACAGAAAGGAGUGUUUGAGUGGCAGAUUUGAGAUAACCCAGCUUUCCUUGUAAACAUCUUUGGAGCCUUCAGCUCUGCGCUACUUUUGAGCCUUUGCCAUUGCCGUGUGCGCCUUGGAGCCUCACAAACUCCUUCCUGACUGGACACCUGCUCUGCUUCAGCCACACCCUUCAGUCCUUAAGGGAAGGUUUGCUAAGCAGGAGAGCCCAGGGGAGCUCUGUCUCGUGAGGACUAGGACUGAACCCAAGCCCACAUGACAGUGUUCUACCACUGGUGGCCCUCUUUUAAUUUUAUUUUGAGACAAGAUCUCACUGAGUUCUCCAUACUGGCCUCAAACUUGGAACGCUCAUGCCUUAGACUCCUGAAGAACUAGUAUUAUAGGCAUGAACCACUGUGCCUAGUCUUGAGGGCUUCUUGGUUAACUGCCUCUGUAAGAAUGGGCUCUGGGGUGCCAAACACCCAGCUUUGUGAGUUGCUAACACCCUGCCUGUCCCAUACAUGGCAUAAUAUCUGCCUAAUAAAUUUGUGUAAAAGGA